UCGUUAGGAAUCAUCUUGAUACUCGCUGCUAUCAGUAUCAAAGUGAAGUUUUAUCAGAAGGUCGAAUUUUGUAUUGCAGUAGUAACCCCUUUGUAAAAGGAAGGAUGGAAUCUUGCUGUUUUGUUCAAACUUCAGAGCCCAUCAGUCAAACACAAGACAGUUGGAUAAUGCUGAUUUCUUUGCGUGACAUUUUCGUAGGAUGUUACUAGUAGCUAAGCUAAAUUGAAUGAGUUUGGGACAAUGGAAUUUUCUCUUUAUUUAAUCAAUGUUUGGCUAAUAGCAGGUAAAGUGACUGAAUUUUGAUACGAUGCAAUUAGUCACACCUGUGUCAAUAAGACAUUGCUGCUGAGGAAUUUAUAAAAAAAAUUGAAAAAAAUUAACUAGGAAAUUUCGGCGACUUAUUUACUACUUAAAGUACUUCAUUUUUGGUCGUAAACAUAUGGAGGUGGGAAAUUCCAAUUUUAUCAUUAGAAUUAAAUGCCAAUCUUCUUGAAAUAUGUACAAAUGAAAACUCCCCGAACUAGAUGACGUCGUGUCUUACUUUUUGUUGUCGCAACCUUUUCGGAAUGCUUGGAAAUUUCGUAAUGAUGGACAUACUAUAGUUGUCGUAAUAUUUAUCCGAACUGCGCCAGAAAGUAUAGUAGAGCCUUUGAGACCUGUAUCUCUAUCUGCAGUUAACUUAAAAUGCUCGCUAUAGUAGUAUCGUAUUUAAGGUAACCUCUAUAGAAGGUAACAUUUUACGUCAAUGAUUUUAUGUUUUAUUUGUAAAGGACUAAAAAGAUAUUCAUUCAACAAAAUUAUCAAAUCAGCUUAUGUUAAUAAACAGAUUCGGUUGCA